UACGUAGGGGGCAAGCGUUGUCCGGAAUUAUUGGGCGUAAAGAGCGCGUAGGCGGUCCGAUAAGUCGGCUGUGAAAGUCAGGGGCUCAACCCUUGAAAGCCGGCCGAUACUGUCGGACUAGAGUCCGGAAGAGGCAAGUGGAAUUCCCGGUGUAGCGGUGAAAUGCGCAGAUAUCGGGAGGAACACCAAUGGCGAAGGCAGCUUGCUGGGACGGUACUGACGCUGAGGCGCGAAAGCCGUGGGGAGCAAAGCAGG
rnacentral:rRNA from 1 species